rnacentral:rRNA from 1 species
AUGAACGCUGGCGGCGUGCCUAAUACAUGCAAGUCGAGCGAACAGACGAGGAGCUUGCUCCUCUGACGUUAGCGGCGGACGGGUGAGUAACACGUGGAUAACCUACCUAUAAGACUGGGAUAACUUCGGGAAACCGGAGCUAAUACCGGAUAAUAUAUUGAACCGCAUGGUUCAAUAGUGAAAGACGGUUUUGCUGUCACUUAUAGAUGGAUCCGCGCCGCAUUAGCUAGUUGGUAAGGUAACGGCUUACCAAGGCGACGAUGCGUAGCCGACCUGAGAGGGUGAUCGGCCACACUGGAACUGAGACACGGUCCAGACUCCUACGGGAGGCAGCAGUAGGGAAUCUUCCGCAAUGGGCGAAAGCCUGACGGAGCAACGCCGCGUGAGUGAUGAAGGUCCUCGGAUCGUAAAACUCUGUUAUUAGGGAAGAACAAAUGUGGAAGUAACUAUGCACGUCUUGACGGUACCUAAUCAGAAAGCCACGGCUAACUACGUG